rnacentral:rRNA from 1 species
UACGUAGGGGGCUAGCGUUGUCCGGAUUUAUUGGGCGUAAAGAGCGUGUAGGCGGCCAGGUAGGUCUGCUGUGAAAACUCGAGGCUCAACCUCGAGACGUCGGCGGAAACCAUCUGGCUAGAGUCCGGAAGAGGAGAGUGGAAUUCCUGGUGGUAGCGGUGAAUGCGCAGAUAUCAGGAAGAACACCCGUGGCGAAGGCGGCUCUCUGGGACGGUACUGACGCUGAGACGCGAAAGCGUGGGGAGCGAACAGG